rnacentral:lncRNA from 1 species
UUCAAUUUGUAGUUUCCCCAAAAUUUCAACAAAAAGUAUAUUAAUACUUCUCCAAAUGGCCUUAUUAAAUAGCACUUCUGUAAAAACUUCAACUCAUAUAAAUUUUUCUUCUUUAUAUUGUAGCCUUAUCAAUUCAUAUCCAUUCAUAUUAUUUAGCUCGAAAAUAAAUAUUUUUCAGAAAUAACACAAGCUGCCAAACUAUCACUAUCUCUAAUAAAAUGAUAAAAUUCGAC